GGCACAGUUAGAGCUCUGCAUGUCUCUACAUUUUGAGUGACAUCUGAGGACCUCUGCUCCAUCUAAGGUCCCAUCAGGUUAUCACAGAGGCCCCUGUGGCAGUGGAUACCUGAUUUCUCUAUACCGCUCUUAUCUGAAGCCCACCCUGCUGUGGUGACCGUCCGUCUAGGAGACAGAAAUUCCAGUGCUGUACUCAGUGUGGCUGUGCACGCUUUAAUGCAUCCGGUGUAGACACAUUCAUUAAUUCUGAGCCUGAGAAACUGUGUGUGUGAACUCUGAUAUGGAGGAGCCUGCUGGAUCAGUGGAAGGAAAGUGGUGUCAGUUAUAUACCUGAUGAAAGCUGUGCUUUUCUCAUGGCUCCACUCAGAACUGCUUCUAUCAUCAUACUUACUUACCCUGCUCUUUUAACAAAGUGUUUAUCUCUAGUGUGCUGCCGACCAGGCGGCUCUCUGCUGGUGCGCAAACGUCUGCUUUAUCCUCGACUGUGCCAGCAUGAGGAGGUUAAACACUCACGCUAUGCAGGAGAAGUCUUCCCAUCAUCCCCACCUGAUCUUUCCCAGCAGGACACUAAAGCAGAGCUGUGUUGGGCUUUUUGCUCUCUUAGAGAGAAAGAGAGUGACUAACAGCGCAGGAAUGUCUGUAGGUGAGGGUGACGGAAAGAUAGACGGGUGAUGAGAUGGAGAGAAAAGACUAAUUAAGCUUAGAGGCUGAAAACAGUAGAUGGUAUGGAGAUUUGUUUACCCGUGAAGUCUUUUAUUUCGAAGCGGCGCUGUCUUUCAGCAAUCUCUUUAAAUGGCUCCCUCCUUCACCGUCUCACUUUGUAACUCUACAGCUGCUGGGCUGUGGGACUCGAGAGAAUGAGGGGAGAGAGAAUAAAAGGGUGGAGAGUACGGAUAGAAAGAAAAGUGAUUUGUGGGGAGAGAAAGGUCGAUGUGGUGCUGCUUUGAAGUCAAAUGAAUCAGUGAGUAUGUGUGUGUGUGUUUCUGAGCAAGAUCCCAAAAGCAGAAAAGAGAGAGCUUUAGCUCUUUAGAAGAGGAGCUGAGGAAGGAGUGAAAGAAGAGAGUCAAUGGCCAAGGGACUGUUGGACGGAGAGAAAAGAGGAAUGGGAACCGCUCUCACUUGAGCUUGGAGUGAGUGACUGACAAAACCCAGCUCAUUCCUCACAUUCCCUCAUUACUUUUCAUCUUUUCAACAUUAUGUUUUUCAGCUCUACUCCCUCGGCUCCUCACUGUCCUCUCAUCUUGCACAAUGUCGCAACUGACUUAGUUUCAUGAAACCUUUAUGGACACAAUGUCUCCCCUCUAAUGAAUCUGAUUUCAGAAGAGGAUGAUUUAUUGGCGUGUUGCAUUUGAAAGCAUAUACAGUACACACAAUGGUAUUUUCAGGCUAAAAUCUCAUUUUAAGCAUUGAGGAUUUGGAUAAGUGAAUCUCACAAAAACAUGUCCAGAUCACAUUUCACCCAGUAAAUUAAAAGAAAAAAGUAAGUAAAAGUAGGUACCCCUAUUUUCUUGUUACUGUAAUGUUGUAAGGCAAUUAUUUUUAUAGCAAAAACACAAAUAGAAUUAUGCAUAGAUACUUGUAUUUUUGCUUGGCUUUAAGUUGUAUUUUUAUUAAAGUUAUUGAAACAGAACGUUCAUACAGAACUU